CCUACGGGAGGCAGCAGUGGGGGAUAUUGCACAAUGGGGGGAACCCUGAUGCAGCGACGCCGCGUGAAGGAAGAAGUAUCUCGGUAUGUAAACUUCUAUCAGCAGGGAAGAAAAUGACGGUACCUGACUGAGAAGCCCCGGCUAACUACGUGCCAGCAGCCGCGGGAAUACGGAGGGGGGAAGCGUUAUCCGGGGUUAAUGGGUGGAAAGGGAGCGUAGGCGGCAGUGCAAGUCAGAAGUGAAAGCCCGGGGCUCAACGCCGGGACUGCUAUUGAAACUGUACAGCUUGUUUGCAGGAGAGGCAAGUGGAAUGCCUAGUGUAGCGGUGAAAUGCGUAGAUAUUAGGAGGAACACCAGUGGCGAAGGCGGCUUGCUGGACUGUAAAUGACGCUGAGGCUCGAAAGCGUGGGGAGCAAACAGGAUUAGAUACCCCGGUAGUC
rnacentral:rRNA from 1 species